rnacentral:rRNA from 1 species
UACGAAGGUGGCAAGCGUUACUCGGAAUUACUAGGCGUAAAGGGCAGGUAGGUGGUUUGACAAGUCUGUUGUGAAAGCUUCCGGCUCAACUGGGAGAGGUCAACAGAUACUGUCAGACUUGAGUAUGGGAGAGGGUACUGGAAUUCCUGGUGUAGCGGUGAAGUGCGCAGAGAUCAGGAGGAACACCGAUGGCGAAAGCAGGUACCUGGACCAUUACUGACACUCAGCUGCGAAAGCUAGGGGAGCAAACAGG